GAUAUUGGACGUGGCCGGAGUGUCGGAGUGCCGUGCCGCCGGCAGGCAGCCAUUGCCCAUAAACCUCGAAACAAAACUUUGCCCGGCCGUCGAGUGUUGCGAAAUAAAUGGCCCGCCGUAGGUGACGACCAGAGCUAAAGGUUUUCCUCCCCCGCCCCGAAACUAUUUCCCCAUUUCCGAGUCAUCAAUAAGGUGAUACUUUAAAGGGGAAUCGCCAGCAACAAAUGUCGGAUUAACCCUAAACUUAACAGCCAUCGAAAGUGAACAAAUGAUCGGCAACCAGGGCUAGAUGGGUAUGCUGAAAGCCAGUUCAAGGAAUUUCCUCUGGGAGGAAUUUCCCAGACGGUAAUCUAUUCUCGACAGAGAGUCAUCAAUAAGUUUUAUUUUACAGUUUAAUCGAACUUUGGUUUUUCGCGAGUGCAAUUUUCCCGCUCAAUGCAGCAGCCAAACAAUGGCUGCCUUAGGAAGAAGCUCAGCUUUCGGCCAGAUGCAGUGGACCAGCAAACAGACAAUGGCCCAAAAAAAAGCGUGCGCGCAGCUGAUUAGCCUGCCCGGCUUUCCCGGCUUUCCACUCUCUUAUGGCAACUGCGUUGGAGAUUUCCCCUCUUCUUCUCUUGUGAUUGUUGUUGGUGCUGGCGUCCGCUUUCCACUGCUCAUCUUAAAGCCAAUUUCCCGCCCUCGCACUCCAGCUGCGGGAAAAUUUUAUUAUUGCGCUUCUGCAGCUGGCCGGCAACAAAAACGUUCGCCGCGGUCGUUUGCUUAAUGCGCCGCGUGCCUUGCGCCCCGGUCCGAUCCGCCAGAUACAAACGGCUAUAGCUGGUAGAUAUAGCUAUGGCUUUAGGAUGAGG